rnacentral:lncRNA from 1 species
GGCGCAGUAUCUGAUCGGCCCGUAGGGUGAUUGAAGAGGGUGGGGGUGUAGAGUGGGCAGUGGCACCUCUAUUAAUAUGUGGCGAGAUGCAUGGUUGCCUGGACCUAGAAAAGGGACAAUCUCGGGUCAGUCGAUUGAUAUUAAUUAUACACUCAUUUUGGAUCUUAUUGAUGUAAAUACAUAUACUUGGCAGGUGGAUGUGGUGAAUAGUUUGUUUGAUAGUGAUUAGGACAGGAGGGUGCUUUCUAUUCCACUGUCAAGAUUCACACAUGAGGAUGAAUUCUUGUGGAAAGGGGAUAAUACGGGGGAGUAUUUGGUAAGGAGUGGUUACAAGUGGCUUGUUUCAAAUAUAGGCGAUGGUACAGAAUGUGCAAAUACAAGCCAGAACAACAGAAUUUGGAACCUUAAAUUGGCAAAUAAAAUUAAGAUUCAUUUUGGCGAAUUGCUAAUAACUUUCUUCCUACUCUAAGUAAUCUGGUAGCUCGAAGGGUGGCAACUAGUAGCUGGUGCCCAGUAUGUAGUGAUUGAGGAGACAGUGGAGCACCUCUUCUGUGAUUGUGCUGUAAUUACCCAGGUUUUGAAUGCUCUGCUGGUACCAUUUGCUCCCUCAAACAAUACAAACAAUUGGAAACUAUGGUUAGUUAAAGAGUUUGUCAACAGUUCCCUUGAUAAAUGUAUUGUGGGUGGUUGUAUUUUGGGUAGUCUGGUUUAAUCGAAAUAGUGCUUAUCAUGAUGGUGUCAAUCAACAAGCAUAUGGUAUUGUGGCUUUCGUCAAAACAUACAUGCAAGAACUGGACUGUUUGGAUUCGGUUUUACAAGAGGUUCAACAUCCACCGGGUAGCAUUUGGAAGCCAC